rnacentral:rRNA from 1 species
UACGUAGGAGGCGAGCGUUAUCCGGAUUUAUUGGGCGUAAAGCGUCCGCAGCCGGUUUAUUAAGUGUGAAAUUAAAGCCCGAGGCUUAACCUCGGUUCGUUUCUCAAACUGAUAAGCUAGAGUGUGGUAGAGGCAAGUGGAAUUUCUAGUGUAGCGGUAGAAUGCGUAGAUAUUAGAAGGAACACCAGUGGCGAAGGCGACUUGCUGGGCCAUUACUGACGGUCAGGGACGAAAGCGUGGGGAGCAAAUA